GACGAACGCUGGCGGCGUGCCUAAUACAUGCAAGUCGAACGCAGUGGGGACGGGUGAGUAACACGUGGGUAACCUCCCAUCAGAGGGGAUAACACUUGGAAACAGGUGCUAAACCGAUACUGAUGGAUGGACCCGCGGUGCAUUAGCUAGUUGGUUAGGUAACGGCUCACCAAGGCCACGAUGCGUAGCCGACCGGAGAGGGUAAUCGGCCAAACUGGGUCGGAAACACGGCCCAGGCUCCUACGGGAGGCAGCAGUAGUGAAGCUUAGGCAAUAGACGAAAGUCUGACCGAGCAACGCCGCGUGAGUGAAGAAGGUUUGCGGAUCGUAAAACUCUGUUGUUAGAGAAGCGGUAUCUAACCAGAAAGCCACGGCUAACUGCGUGCCAACGGCCGCGGUAAUAC
rnacentral:rRNA from 1 species